UACGUAGGGGGCAAGCGUUGUCCGGAAUCAUUGGGCGUAAAGAGCGCGUAGGCGGCCCUGUAAGUCCGCUGUGAAAGUCAAGGGCUCAACCCUUGGAUGCCGGUGGAUACUGCAGGGCUAGAGUCCGGAAGAGGCGAGUGGAAUUCCUGGUGUAGCGGUGAAAUGCGCAGAUAUCAGGAAGAACACCGGAGGCGAAGGCGGCUUGCUGGACCUGGUCUGACGCUGAGGAGCGAAAGCGUGGGGAGCGAACAGG
rnacentral:rRNA from 1 species